rnacentral:lncRNA from 10 species
AGGAAAGCUGAGUUUCGAAAAAAUGCAGCUCGACUGAGACUGUGGUGUGGCUGGAUUUUCACAAAGCAGUAUUUAUAAUCAGGCAGAAAAUCGUGGAGAAACAGCUAAGGAUCAAGUUGCCACUUAAAUUCCUAACAGCUACACCUGGCCAUGAGAACUGGUGAGGUUUCGGAGACACACAUCAUAAAGUGUGGGCCAGGUUGGGUGCUUCUCUGAUUAAUAUCAUGGCAGGGUUUUGGAACUCUUCAUUUCCUUCAUGCUGAAUCACCAGGGGGUCCCACAUGGCUGUCCCAACUCCAUCAAGCUGGAGUCCGAGAGGUGGCAGGCAGGCGGGCAGGGGCUUAGGAACACGCGAGGCAGCCGCACUCUAAGUGUCUCUCCACCUCUUCUACAAACGAGGAGCCGUCCGUGCACUGGAAGACGUAUUUCCGCCGCUUGCUGCGGGUGGGCUGGCAGCACUGGGGCCCACAGCCCCCACGACAUUCCAUGAUGGGCACCUUGGAGGCUGUGGCACAUGAUGCAUAACCUUUCUGGCGGCGGAUCACCUCUCGGACUACUUGUCCCAGGCACGGAUUCUCUGCAGAGGGCAUAGAAGUCAGGGCAUUGGUGGUCUAGGUGGCCAGCAGGACCAUGAGCAGUUCCCAGUGGGAGAAUGUCUGCAGCAAGGCACUUGAGGAAGGGAGCCAUGACCCUUGACCCUUGACAAGCAAGUCACAGUUUCCGUGUCUGCAAAGUGGUAACACAUUUACCUGUCCUUCCAGCAACUCCCAGGCUGUUACGGGCACCAGAGGCGAUUGUGAAGGAGAAAGG